AUACGUAGGGGGCGAGCGUUGUCCGGAAUGACUGGGCGUAAAGGGCGUGUAGGCGGCGGUGUAAGUCUGGAGUGAAAGUCCCGCAUUCAAUGUGGGAAUUGCUUUGGAUACUGCAGUGCUAGAGGGCGGAAGAGGUAAGUGGAAUUCCCAGUGUAGCGGUGAAAUGCGUAGAGAUUGGGAGGAACACCAGUGGUGAAGGCGACGUACUUGGACGUAACUGAGUCUGAGGCGCGAAAGCGUGGGGAGCGAACUGGAUUAGAUACCCUGGUAGUCCACGCUGUAAACGAUCAAUACUAGGGGUGGGGGGACUGACCCCCUCCGUGCCGCAGUUAACACAAUAAGUAUUCCACCUGGGGAGUACGAUCGCAAGAUUGAAACUCAAAUGAAUGGACGGGU
rnacentral:rRNA from 1 species